rnacentral:rRNA from 1 species
AUUGAACGCUGGCGGCAGGCCUAACACAUGCAAGUCGAGCGGAUGAAGGGAGCUUGCUCCUGGAUUCAGCGGCGGACGGGUGAGUAAUGCCUAGGAAUCUGCCUGGUAGUGGGGGAUAACGUCCGGAAACGGGCGCUAAAACCGCAUACGUCCUGAGGGAGAAAGUGGGGGAUCUUCGGACCUCACGCUAUCAGAUGAGCCUAGGUCGGAUUAGCUAGUUGGUGGGGUAAAGGCCUACCAAGGCGACGAUCCGUAACUGGUCUGAGAGGAUGAUCAGUCACACUGGAACUGAGACACGGUCCAGACUCCUACGGGAGGCAGCAGUGGGGAAUAUUGGACAAAGGGCGAAAGCCUGAUCCAGCCAUGCCGCGUGUGUGAAGAAGGUCUUCGGAUUGUAAAGCACUUUAAGUUGGGAGGAAGGGCAGUAAGUUAAUACCUUGCUGUUUUGACGUCACCAACAGAAUAAGCACCGGCUAACUUCGUG